rnacentral:rRNA from 1 species
UACGUAGGGGGCAAGCGUUGUCCGGAAUCAUUGGGCGUAAAGCGCGUGUAGGCGGCUCGAUAAGUCUGCUGUGAAAGUCCAAGGCUCAACCUUGGGAUGCCGGUGGAUACUGUCGAGCUCGAGUCCGGAAGAGGAGUGUGGAAUUCCUGGUGUAGCGGUGAAAUGCGCAGAUAUCGGGAGGAACACCUAUGGCGAAGGCAGCUCGCUGGGACGUUACUGACGCUGAGACGCGAAAGCGUGGGGAGCAAACAGG